GUUUGAUUCUGGCUCAGGACGAACGCUGGCGGCACGCUUAACACAUGCAAGUCGAACGAGAGAAGAGAAGCUUGCUUUUCUGAUCUAGUGGCGGACGGGUGAGUAACACGUGAGCAAUCUGCCUUUCAGAGGGGGAUACCGAUUGGAAACGAUCGUUAAUACCGCAUAACAUAAUUGAACCGCAUGAUUUGAUUAUCAAAGAUUUAUCGCUGAAAGAUGAGCUCGCGUCUGAUUAGCUAGUUGGUAAGGUAACGGCUUACCAAGGCGACGAUCAGUAGCCGGACUGAGAGGUUGAUCGGCCACAUUGGGACUGAGACACGGCCCAGACUCCUACGGGAGGCAGCAGUGGGGAAUAUUGCACAAUGGAGGAAACUCUGAUGCAGCGAUGCCGCGUGAGGGAAGAAGGUUUUAGGAUUGUAAACCUCUGUCUUCAGGGACGAAAAAUGACGGUACCUGAGGAGGAAGCUCCGGCUAACUACGUGCCAGCAGCCGCGGUAAUACGUAGGGAGCGAGCGUUGUCCGGAAUUACUGGGUGUAAAGGGAGCGUAGGCGGGAUCGCAAGUCAGAUGUGAAAACUAUGGGCUUAACCCAUAAACUGCAUUUGAAACUGUGGUUCUUGAGUGAAGUAGAGGUAAGCGGAAUUCCUAGUGUAGCGGUGAAAUGCGUAGAUAUUAGGAGGAACAUCAGUGGCGAAGGCGGCUUACUGGGCUUUAACUGACGCUGAGGCUCGAAAGCGUGGGGAGCAAACAGGAUUAGAUACCCUGGUAGUCCACGCCGUAAACGAUGAUUACUAGGUGUGGGGGGACUGACCCCUUCCGUGCCGCAGCAAACGCAAUAAGUAAUCCACCUGGGGAGUACGACCGCAAGGUUGAAACUCAAAGGAAUUGACGGGGGCCCGCACAAGCAGUGGAGUAUGUGGAUUAAUUCGAAGCAACGCGAAGAACCUUACCAGGUCUUGACAUCGUAUGCAUAGCUCAGAGAUGAGUGAAAUCUCUUCGGAGACAUAUAGACAGGUGGUGCAUGGUUGUCGUCAGCUCGUGUCGUGAGAUGUUGGGUUAAGUCCCGCAACGAGCGCAACCCUUACUGUUAGUUGCUACGCAAGAGCACUCUAGCAGGACUGCCGUUGACAAAACGGAGGAAGGUGGGGAUGACGACAAAUCAUCAUGCCCCUUAUGACCUGGGCCUCACACGUACUACAAUGGCUGUCAACAGAGGGAAGCAAAGCCGCGAGGUGGAGCAAACCCCUAAAAGCAGUCUUAGUUCGGAUUGUAGGCUGCAACCCGCCUACAUGAAGUCGGAAUUGCUAGUAAUCGCAGAUCAGCAUGCUGCGGUGAAUACGUUCCCGGGCCUUGUACACACCGCCCGUCACGCCAUGGGAGUCGGUAACACCCGAAGCCUGUAGUCUAACCGCAAGGAGGACGCAGUCGAAGGUGGGAUUGAUGACUGGGGUGAAGUCGUAACAAGGUAUCC
rnacentral:rRNA from 1 species